CAGAAUUAGUAGAAACAGGAAUUUGUCUACAGUUGGGGUUCUUCACUUGUUCCGAGUGCUAUAAUAAAGAAGGGGAAAGAUACCCAAGUUCGGACUUUGUGAUCCUAAAAUUCCUGGAUAUGUCUGGAGGUACUGAAGAUGUUGAUAGCACUUUAUAGUGGAUUUCUGAAGUUCAAGUUCUCUCUGUGGCCAGAAACCCCUUUAUCAACCUUGGCAGCGUUUUGCUUCUGUCUCAGUCAGUCUGGUCCUUUUUGAGAUCCACAAAUAAAGAGUUUUCUCAGUCUCCAGGUGGAA